UACGGGGGGGGCAAGCGUUGUUCGGAAUUACUGGGCGUAAAGGGCUCGUAGGCGGCCAACUAAGUCAUACGUGAAAUCCCUCGGCUUAACCGGGGAACUGCGUCUGAUACUGGAUGGCUUGAGUUCGGGAGAGGGAUGCGGAAUUCCAGGUGUAGCGGUGAAAUGCGUAGAUAUCGGGAGGAACACCAGAGGCGAAGGCGGCGAACUGGACAGCAACUGACACUCAACUGCGAAAGCGUGGGGAGCAAACAGG
rnacentral:rRNA from 1 species